AGCUCCGCCCCGUCGCAGGCGGGAUUGGUGGAGGUGCAGACCAACCGAGAAAGAUGGGUCGGUAUCUGAAACAAAGCACGCGAAAUGUUCCCCGAAAAACCGAGAACGGAAAACGCAGUAGGGGCAUCUUCUAUCCCGCUGCACCAAAUAAGAGAGGUAACCCAUACCUCGCGCCUAGCCCAUCGCGUUCGGAUCUCCUACUUGCCUCGCAUGCCUCAGAGCGGCUCUCUGUUGGAACCCAGUCCACGCCGAACUUGGACUGGGACUUCUCUUACUGUUUCCUACAGCUGAAAACCGGAUAAAGAAUUGCCGGGUCUUCUUUUACAGCAAACCCCCUGGUUUCUUCUCUAGACAAGAAUCUCAUCCAUGUUGGUGACCUUUAACCUGACCAAGCAUCAUCUGCGCCCCACAGAAAUGGCCUUGUGGCAUGGCUAAGACAGAAUGAAACGAAGUGGCCAUAGCAAGCGUCCAUGCCUCACGCCUGAUCUCAAGAAGAAAGUGUUCAAUAAUUCACUGUUGUCGUGUUCACUGUUAGAUUUUAUAUACACACUUUACUAGAUUAUGUUCCCUUCCUAGUUUGCUAGGGUUUUGUCUUUUUUUUAAUAACGAGUGAAUAUUAAGUUUUAUCAAAGUGUAUGAGUAUUAAGUUUUACAUAUAUCAUUGAGGUGGAGAAUUACAUUGGUUGAUUUUCAAGUGUUAAAUGAACCUUGCAUUCCCAGAAUAAACCUAACUUGAUCAUAAUGUAUUAUCUUCUUCUACAGUGCUGGAUUUGGUUUGCCAAUAUUUUGCUUGGGAAUUUUGCAUUCAUGUAUAUUAUAGAGAUUGACCUAUAAUUUUCCUUUCAUUUAACAUUCUUUUUAGUUUUGAUAUUGUAUUAGUCUGGGUUCUCCAGAGAAAAAAACAAAUAGGAAAUGCAAAUGGGUAAUUAGGUAGGUAGGUAGGUAAGUAGGUAGAAGUAGAUGCACAUGCAGAUACAGAUGUAGAUACAGACGCAGACACAGAUGUCGAUAUAGGUACAGAUACAGAUGUAGACACAGACACACAGAUACACCCAUACAGGUUGGAAGAUGCAUAUUAACAGGAGAAUAUUGGUAAAGCACUUAGCUCAACAGAGUGUCAAGUCAGUAAUUACUAUUCAAGUUACUUAUAUCUAUAUCUAUGUAUAUCUCUAUCUCCUAUUGGUUCUAUAUCUCUUGAUAUGCCAUGUUUUCAUUACUAUUUAGUUAAAAAUGUUUUCUAAUUUCCAGUAUGAGCUCUUCUUUGACCUAUGGAUUACUUAAUUAUUCAAUUGCCAAUAUUUAGAGAUUUCUAAUUCUUUUUGUUUUUGUUUUUUUAUAGCUCAGUUUAUCAUUAGAAAAAACACUCUAUAUUAAUUCAAUAUUUUGACAUUUGUUGAAUCUUGUUUUUUGAUCCAGCAUGUGGUCAAUUUGGGAAAAUAUUCCAUGUACACUUGAAAAAAUGAGUAAUUUGAAGUUACUGGGGACUCUGUUCUAUAUGUGCUAAUCAAGUUAAGUUUGAUUGUUAUUCAAACUUUAUCAUUUACUGAGAGGUGUAUUGAAGUUUCUAUCUUCGAUAAGCUAUUUGAGGUAGAAGAUAAGGUCUCAAGAGCUUGAUGAAUACGGAGACUAAGAAAAAGAGAUAGUAAAUCUGAUUUGCAUUAGAAAUUAACAGAAAUUUGGGGGAGGUGUGGAAAACCAGAGAAGACAAGAGGGAGAUCCCUAAACUACGCGAUCUGGAGAAGACGAAAGAUUUGUAAAACAAGGGAAUAUCUAAAUAUCUGUCCAAAGAUGUCUGAGUUUCUAUUAAUGUAAACCCCUUCUCUGUCUUUACAGAUCUUCAGUAAAACCUGCUACCCACUAAAACACA